rnacentral:rRNA from 1 species
UACUAGAGUAGCACUCGCAUAUCAAUAAGCGGAGGAAAAGAAACUAACAAGGAUUCCCCUAGUAACGGCGAGUGAAGCGGGAAGAGCUCAAAUUUGAAAUCUUAAUAGGGUUUCCCUUUACGAAUUGUAGUUUAAAGAAGUGUUUUCUGUUGAGGUUUUGGUAAAAGUUCUUUGGAAUAGGACAUCAUAGAGGGUGAGAAUCCCGUAUUUGACCUUUACUUUCAACUUUGUGAUACACUUUCAAAGAGUCGGAUUGUUUGGGAAUGCAGUCCAAAAUGGGUGGUAAAUUUCAUCUAAAGCUAAAUAUUGGCGAGAGACCGAUAGCGAACAAGUACCGUGAGGGAAAGAUGAAAAGAACUUUGAAAAGAGAGUUAAACAGUACGUGAAAUUGUCAAAAGGGAAGCGUUUGACACCAGUGUUGUUUUUCUGAAAAUCAAUUAAAGAACUGUUUAUGCUAAGUUGUUUAGACUUUAUCAGCUAACUGUUUAGUUUUGAGCUUUUCUUUAAUGCACUUUUCAGUUAACAAGUCAACAUCAAUUUCUUUUGCUGUAAAAAAGCUUGAGGAAGGUGGCUUGAGAUUCGUCUUAAGUGUUUAUAGCCUCUUGCCUAUGCAGUCGGAGAGAUUGAGGUCUGCAGCGUAGAUCCUUCGGGGCUAAAUGCAUUUGUGCUAAGUUAUAGCAUUUUAUAGACAACUUGUUGACUAUGAUUUUUCUUGUAGCUUACUCGCUUAUGUUAUUUUACCUACGCUUAGGAUGUUGAAGACUCUACAGAGAUA